rnacentral:tRNA from 1 species
GCAGAUAUGGUUUAACAAAAACACUAGAUUGUGAUUCUAGAGAUAGGGGUUAAAGCCCUCUUAUCCGCC